GGCCGUGUGGCGCAAUUGGCCGCGCGUCUGACUACGACUCAGCUGCGCUCCUCCAGGACAUGGAGGAGGUGUGCUACGGUAAUCAGGAGGUUGCGGGUUCGAGCCCCGUCAUGGUCA